ACAGGGGUGUCCAAACUACGGCCCGCGGGCCAGCUGCGGCCCGCGAUCCAUUUUAAAUUGGCCCGCGUCAAAUUCCCCCAGCCUACUGCGGGAAGGCACCUCAUUCCCUCGGAUUGCAGUGCAGCUCCCUGGAGAGGAGAGACUGCUGCUGCUGUGCCGGCACGCCCCACCCCCGAUUCGCUGGCUGGCUGGCUAGGCUGUGUGGAGACUGAGUAGGUGGGGAGACAGAGUGAGGACGUCACAAGAGCUGCGCUGUGCUGCCCCAACACGCCCCCCUCUACACGGCUUCCCUCUGGUUGGCUGGAUUCGGACUGCGUGCCUGCCCUCUGUGGAGACUGGAUGGGGACUGGGAAGACCGAGUGUGGAAGUCUCGGGAGACUGAGAGAGACUGCGUACUGCAGUGUGCUGCCACCCACCACGGCUACAAGACAUCAGAAAAAGCUGCCCAGAGUGAAGUAAGAUACCUCUAUAUCUCCAACUGUGGCUGACUUCAUGAAAAUUUGCUUCAGCAGUGGAAGAAGUAAUAGAACACAUUUCUGUAAAUCGUUUUUGAUUGUUCAAAGUAAAAUGUGAGGACUGGAUUCCAGCUGUGUGACAUUCAAAGGAUCCCGCAUCCCGCUAGAUGAAACUAAUGUCCUUAUGUAAAUCAGGGUGCAAGAUUACAAUGUACAGAGGGAACCCUGGAAUCACUGUGCAUGAUUUAAAGAAGAGGCAUGGCAGAUGCGCUGAUACUGAAUGUAAUUAUACGAAAGUUCAAUCUUUGGAUGCAGUUACCCUUGAUAAGUGGUGUCAAUGCAUGCAAGAAUUUGGGUUCCAUUUAAAUGGAGCCAUACUUUUGACUGUGGUCAUAAUAAGCUCUUAAGUCUAAAAGAGAUCACAAAUGUAUUCUGUAAGAGCACAGUUACACUGAUGAUGUGGCAUCCCCUUUUGAAUAGGGAAAGAUAAAAUCAAGUAGUUCAAGUAGUUCAAGUAGCUCUCAAAGCCAAAAAAAACCUUUCUAAAAUAAUCAUAUACAAUGUUGUCUUAUAUCAUUGGUUGAAAAAGAUCAGGUCAGCACCAAUACCCAUGUUGCCCACUUAUAAUAGCUUGGGUUCAAUUUGAAUUAAAGAUCAGUAUCUCAGAGUAAGGUCAAUUGAGCUUAGCCUUCUUUCUAGUUUGUAUCAGUCAAUUGUUGUAUGUAAUCUGUUUGUUGUAAACAGACACCCUGCAGAAUAUGUUGGUGCUUUUAAAUAUUUAUUAUUUUUAACAGUAAUUUUUAUUUGUAUGCUCAUUUAAAUUGCCUAAUUUUAGGAAACAGUUUGUACUUCAAAACAGAAUAAAGUGCAUAACAUUAUAUAGUAUUUCCAGUUUACCAACUAGCAAUGUCAGUAGCCAUGUCAUGUCUCUGCAUUUCCCACCAUAUCGUACUGUUUCUCUGUUGUUGGUUAGUCUUCCCUUCUUCCUAACAUUUUCAUGGAAUUUGCCCUCUAGUAAUUGUAAUUGUAACUAUUGUAGCCCCCCAAAUCUAUGGAUGCAUUUCAUAAUGGAUAUAUAAGAUAAACAGUAUGGCAGAGAAGAAACAUACAGAUAUACAGUACAUUCACAGAGUAUUAUAAGUUAUUUGGUGCCUGACCUAAUGAUCUAGAACCUAAGUGGUGUCAUAUGUUAAAGGUUUAUUUUUUGUACUGUCUCCCUGUUUCCCUAAAAAUCCCAAUAAAAAAUAAUUAACA